GCUAUCUGCAGUCGAGGGGCAGCGGGGUAGCAAUACCGCCGGCGACCGGCAAACGGGUGCGGAACACGUACGCAACCUUCCUUCAAGUGGGGGAUAGCCCAUAGAAAUGUGGAUUAAUACCUCGUAACAUCACGGCGUGGCAUCACGCUGUGAUUAUAGAAUUUCGCUUGAAGAUGGGCGUGCGUCUGAUUAGGUAGUUGGUGAGGUAACGGCUCACCAAGCCGACGAUCAGUAACUGGCGUGAGAGCGCGACCAGUCACACGGGCACUGAGACACGGGCCCGACUCCUACGGGAGGCAGCAGUAAGGAAUAUUGGUCAAUGGACGCAAGUCUGAACCAGCCAUGCCGCGUGGAGGAUGAAGGUCCUCUGGAUUGUAAACUUCUUUUAUUUGGGACGAAACACUUCUUUUCUAAGAAGCUUGACGGUACCAAGUGAAUAAGCACCGGCUAACUCCGUGCCAGCAGCCGCGGUAAUACGGAGGGUGCAAGCGUUAUCCGGAUUCACUGGGUUUAAAGGGUGCGUAGGCGGGCUUGUAAGUCCGUGGUGAAAUCUCAAAGCUUAACUUUGAAACUGCCAUGGAUACUAUAGGUCUUGAAUGUUGUGGAGGUUUGCGGAAUAUGUCAUGUAGCGGUGAAAUGCUUAGAUAUGACAUAGAACACCGAUUGCGAAGGCAGCAGGCUACACAAAUAUUGACGCUGAGGCACGAAAGCGUGGGGAUCAAACAGGAUUAGAUACCCUGGUAGUCCACGCCCUAAACGAUGAUUACUCGACAUUUGUGAUACACAAUAAGUGUCUGAGCGAAAGCAUUAAGUAAUCCACCUGGGAAGUACGACCGCAAGGUUGAAACUC
rnacentral:rRNA from 1 species